rnacentral:lncRNA from 1 species
GUGCUCGUCGUUGUAAUCGCUAGGGUUUGUUCCAAUAACGAGAGGAAGGGGGAGAAAAAUUCCAAAAAAUAUCUAUCCUGUGCGAGAGAUGGCGCAGGCUCCGAUGCAGCAUCAGGCGCCGAACGGGACGGUCGACAACAAUAUCGCCUCCGCCGGCGGGGGCCACUCCUCGCCGACGUCGCUGUACGUGGGUGACCUGCACGGGAGCGUGACGGACGCGCAGGUCUACGAUCUGUUCAGCCAGAUCGGCCCCUUGCUGUCGGUCCGGGUCUGCCAUGACGUCAAUACGCACCGAUCUCUCGGCU